rnacentral:rRNA from 1 species
UACGUAGGGGGGCAAGCGUUGUCCGGAUUUAUUGGGCGUAAAGAGCGUGUAGGCGGUUUGGUAGGUCCGUUGUGAAAACUCGAGGCUCAACCUCGAGACGCCGAUGGAAACCAUCAGACUAGAGUCCGGAAGAGGAGAGUGGAAUUCCGUGGUGUAGCGGUGAAAUGCGCAGAUAUCAGGAAGAACACCCGUGGCUAAGGCGGCUCUCUAGUACGGUACUGACGCUGAGACGCGAAAGCGUGGGGAGCGAACAGG